AUAAUUUCUAGUCAAAUUUGGUUCUGUAAGUUUGUAAACACUCGAACUCACGAAUGAAGAGAAAUUUUCAGACUAAUUUAGUCACAACCAUCUAAAGCGCCUUCUUCAAAGACGGCAGUGGUAUAGUGUCCAAAACUCCGAAAAGCACUGGUCCAAUGUUUUUUGUUAAUACAUAUAUGAAAAAAUACUGAAAUUGAUAGCAGGCCGAACACCACAUUUCGCACAAACAUUUACAACGCUAUAUUAGAGUGCCAAGCAGAGAUGGGCGAGUUCAGUACCUGAAUGGAAGACCGCUGUGGUUAUGAAUUCAAACAAACGAGCAAAAGUUUCAGGAUCCACGUCGGUGUUUUAGAAUUUAAAUCAGAAUUAAGAUUCUGCUUGGUACUCAAGUGGGUUUGAAUGUUGAAUGAUAAUAUCAAAAAAUUUCAGUAAGUUCCAAAGACAACACUCCGGUUGCUGUAUGGAUAUUACUCAAGUAUGGAAAAGUAUUUCAAAUAAAUAUCAUGCUUUGAGCAAUUCUUCUGGUUCAUUGUUUACAUUUUCAUGUAUCACAAACAUGAACUUAUGCAUGAAAAACAACACACCGAACUUCCAUAAAUCGUCAUGACCAUUAUCAUUCAUAAUUUGAAAAACAAAUGACCUAUUUAUUCUGAGGACUUACCAAUAGCAAGAUACGUAUGAACAAUCUGCUGAUUUAGGAAAUAAAUUAAUAAUAUUUU